rnacentral:lncRNA from 1 species
CAAAUUGUUAAUUACCCACAGCUUUCUAAACUCACAGCUGUUUGCUGUGUGCAACAGGCUGAUAGCCCUCUUGGUUCCAAGGGGUUUUCAACUUCCUAUGUGUCAGCAAGUUCAAGAGAAAAAUUUUAAGGCAAAUGGGCAUUUUGUUGCCACAAUGUAGUGGGGUAAUUUCCAGGAUGCUCUAAAACUCCGAAGCUGCUGCGGGUCAUCUGUAAACUCAGAACUGUAAACAUGGAGGGAGCGUUUCCGGUGACCUGAAGGCUGGAGAGGUCUCAGUCAGAUGCAUGUGUGUAUUUGGGACUUUUGCAACUGAAGCUUCGAGCAUCCUUCACUAGAAACACGAAUCAGAGUGCUCUGUACACGGCAGGUCCUCCUCUAGAUCCUGAUCGAGGCCAAGAUCUGAAGGAAGUGUCCAUAAGGAAUGAUUAACCAUCGUUAGGUUGCUAAACCACUCCAGGACUUUUAACUAGAUGAAGAAAAGAAUAUUUGCCAGCUCUCGUCUCCGAGAACAUUCUUGCCUGUGUUUGGAAGGAAAUACUCUGAUAAACUGCAUGGAGUGUGAGGAAGAAUUGAAUAAAAGGAAGAACUUUCUUGAAUUUCCAACGUUGCAGGUCCUUCUGGUUGUGGCAUGUGGGACGCUGCCUCAGCAUGGCAUGAUGAGCAGUGCCACGUCCGCGCCCAGGAUCCGAACCUACGAAACCCUGGUCUGUAGAAGCAGAGUGCGCACGCCUAACCACUCACUCAACCACGGAG